rnacentral:rRNA from 1 species
AGCCACCUUCGGGUGGUGGACAGUGGCAGACGGGUGAGUAACGCGUGGGAACGUGCCUUUCGGUUCGGAAUAACCCAGGGAAACUUGGGCUAAUACCGGAUACGCCCUUCGGGGGAAAGAUUCAUUGCCGAAAGAUCGGCCCGCGUCGGAUUAGCUAGUUGGUGGGGUAAUGGCUCACCAAGGCGACGAUCCGUAGCUGGUCUGAGAGGAUGACCAGCCACACUGGGACUGAGACACGGCCCAGACUCCUACGGGAGGCAGCAGUGGGGAAUUGUUCGCAAUGGGCGCAAGCCUGACGACGCAACGCCGCGUGGAGGAUGAAGGUCUUCGGA